GUUGCCAGCACGUGAUGGUGGGGACACAUAGGAAACUGCCGGGGUCAACUCGGAAGAGGGUGGGGAUGACGUCAAAUCAUCAUGCCCCUUAUGUCUUGGGCUUCACGCAUGCUACAAUGGCCGGUACAAAGGGCUGCGAAACCGCGAGGUGGAGCGAAUCCCAAAAAACCGGUCUCAGUUCGGAUUGGGGUCUGCAACUCGUACCCCAUGAAAUCGGAAUCGGUAAAUAAUCGCAAAUCAACAACGCUGCGGUGAAUACGUUCCCGGGCCUUGUACACACCGCCCGUCAAGUCACGGAAGUCCGUAACACCCGNAGCCGGUGGCCCNACCCUCGUGGGGGGAGCCGUCGAAGGUGGGACUGGCGAUUGGGACUAAGUCGUAACAAGGUAGCCGUACCGGAAGUGAG
rnacentral:rRNA from 1 species